rnacentral:rRNA from 1 species
CCUACGGGAGGCAGCAGUGAGGAAUAUUGGUCAAUGGCCGCUAGCCUGAACCAGCCAAGUCGCGUGAAGGAUGACUGCCCUAUGGGUUGUAAACUUCUUUUAUCUGGGAACAAAGUGCAGUAUGUAUACUUCUUUGCAUGUACCUGAUGAAUAAGGAUUGGCUAACUCCGUGCCAGCAGCCGCGGUAAUACGGAGGAUGCGAGCGUUAUCCGGAUUUAUUGGGUUUAAAGGGUGCGUAGGCGGACGUGAAAGUCAGCGGUAAAAUAGGGGGGCUCAACCCCCGACCGCCGUUGAAACUGACGGUCUUGAGUGGGCGAGAAGUAUGCGGAAUGCGUGGUGUAGCGGUGAAAUGCAUAUAUAUCACGCAGAACUCCGAUUGCGAAGGCAGCAUACCGGCGCCCAACUGACGCUCAAGCACGAAAGCGUGGGUAUCGAACAGGAUUAGAUACCCGUGUAGUC